GGUGCCUCGGCCAGUCCUAACAACCACCUCCAGGACGAUCCCCUUUCGGUUGCAGUUGACGGAGCCGCUCCAUCUUAUUGACUCAAAUAUCCAGCUCAUCUCCGUCAGCCCGGAGUGCCCAGGUACCUGGCAUCGGACCAAGGAAAGCCCGAGAAUGCCCAUCCCCAUAACCCACAUCGAGCUGAUCAUUCUCUGGAACCUUUUUGCCAUCGCGAGCCCAUGGAUUGUCCCUCAACCUAAGCAAAACGUUUGGAGGAUGCUCGCUGGCGCCCUCGGCAGGGAUCAUUUGUGCCUCACCACCGCCUCGGCAGCAGACCCCUUGUCGACCUGCCUUGUGGGGAUCCCGCUUCCUCCAAAGGAGUUUCCCGAGCCCCUUUACUCCUCCCUUAAACCCCUUUCCCAAAAUAAAGUUUUCCGUCCCUCUGGUCCCAAUCCCAAUUUAAUCUGGAGGAGGCUAAUGUCCAAAUUGAACAUAUCUAAAUCUGACCCCACUGAAUUUAAAUUGCUCGGCUCCGCAUCAGCAAAUUUGUGUGUUGAAUUUUUCCCUUUCCACGACCGCGACGAAAAAUCUUUUACACCAAUCAUAGAACCAAAUCUAAACUACGCGGCGGGGAAUUGGUGUUCUGUUACCUCCCAUAUCACCACCUCCCUCUCCUUUGAAGAUAAACCCAGAUCCCUUCCCAACGGCGUAUUUUUCAUUUGCGGAGACCGAGCAUGGGCAGGCAUCCCCUCUCACCUUCUAGGAGGCCCGUGUACAUUUGGACGGCUGACGCUGUUUGCUCCCAACAAUUCCCAAAUUAAAGAUUGGAAAGAGAAGAUUGUCGCACACAAUUCGGUCCGCGUAGCAAGAGAUCUUAAAGAUUUAAAUGAACAGUGUGACUCCCAAAUUGUUCAUUGGUCAAAGCCAGAAGGUGUCGCAUGGACAGUGUUUCUCCCGUGGGUGUCUAUUGCGAAGUCUCUAGGUGAAUUAGCCCACCUAGAGUGUUGGGUAGCCAAACAAGCAAAUUUUACCUCAGCCGCUUUAAGUAACCUCCUAGCAGACGAAGAAAUAACAAGGCAAGCAACUCUCCAAAACCGAGCAGCAAUAGAUUUUCUAUUGCUGCUCCAUGAUCACCGAUGUGAAGAGUUCGAGGGGCUCUGCUGCCUCAAUUUAACAUCCAGAGCCGAGGACGCCAGAAGAUCUAUUGACCGAAUGAAGGGAAUGAUCAGCGACAUUAAAGAGAAAACAUCAGACUGGUUAGGGGACAUCUUUACGGGAUGGGGUCUCUCGGGCUGGGUAGUUUCUAUUUUAAAAACUGUUGUUUUAGUCCUUUUCAUUUUAGUAGUCAUUUCAAUUGCAAUUUCUGUCGUUUGGAGAAUUCUUAAAGGGCUUAUAGUUAAGUCGAUGUCUGCUGCGGAAGUCAAUCGAGUGGUAGUCGAAGAAAAGGUUAUGGAUGAAAGUCAAGAAGAAGAAGGUUCCGAAGAAGAUGAGCAGUUAAAAGACCACCCUUGGUCAGAUGAAUCCUCAGAAGAUGGUUUUUAAGUUACCCCACUCCUCCUUUUUCUUUUUGAACAAAAAAGGGGGAGAUGUUGGGGUGCAUUAGUUUUAAGUUGGUUUAUUCCUGUACCCCCCAUUCCUGUUUAUGGUUCUGCCCGGGCUCUCUCUCUCUCCCUCUUCUUGAUCGCCCCGUCAGUUGCACUUUUCCCCUCCCUUUCCCUACGAUUUAUCUCUCCUAAUCCCUCCCUGGCUGCCUGUCUGUUAUUCGGUGCCCACACCCUUCCAUCCAGAACCUUCUGCCUUGGACAUUGAAUGAUUGGACCAGGGGUCAGGGUUCAACCCUCAGUUUAUUCCCACUGGAGAUCCGAGAUGUUUGUUACGUGUUAUUCCCUCCUCUCAAAAAUUUAGAUUGGUCAUUGUGUUCUGGUUAUAAGGCCCUGCCGGGCAUGCCUUUUUGUCCGCGCUCGACGCACUUUCAAUAAACCCUCUCGUUUUCCCUGU